CGUUACAUUUUAGUCAAAAGUUAUGAGCGUGUAAGACAUGCUCACGAGCACAUUAUGUUAUUUCACACGCGCAAAAAUGAACCUUCAGCUGGCAUGAUAAAAGUACUCGCGCACAAAUUCAACAGCCGAGAGGUGUACAUGUAGCUGCGAGCGAGCGCCUGGCAUACUCGCAUAGGUUAACUCUGCUUGUGCAGUGGAAUCCUGCUCGCGCGCAGCGGGCUUCUGCUCGCGGAGUGCUGUUUUGCUCGCGCGGUGGAUUUCUGCUCGCUCAGCUGAUUUCUGCUCGCUCGAGUCUACAUGACUUUUGACAAUUUGGGGGCGGAAACCAAGGAGGGCACUGACCCUCUUAUGAUUGGUCACUUUCACACAGGGACAUCCUUGUACCUUGAUUGACAGCUCUCAUUACAGGAAGCACGGAGUUGGGUUAAGUUACCACCGAAGAAGAGUGGGAAUGAAUUAGAAUGAGUUUUCCAAUAUACAUUAAAUGUCUCUGCACGUAUAAAAUGCUGCGCUGAUCAUAGUUAAAUCAGUUACCAUCGAUGAAUAUACACUCUAGAAAGGGUUGGGUCAUUUUGUUGGGUUAUUUUAUUUCUUUUUAAACACUUUUGGGUAGUUUCAAAUUUACGACGUGUUGGGUUAAACCUGCUCGGUUGUUUCCGGACCAGCGCUGGGUUAUUUAACGCGCCUUGAAGAUCGCUCCCCAACUGUCAUUUUGGAAGAACAACGGGGCAAAGCCACGGCUUUCAACGGUUUUAAGAAAAGCACAUGGAUACACUUGUGUGAGACAAACUCUUCGAGUGCAGUCUUAUUGAGGCAUCUAACGGUUGGAACAAACAUGGAAUUCUUUAACUGAGCAGAGUCCACAAAACCCCAUCCAAUUGUCGUGCCGAUUUAAAAAUGCCAGCAGAUCUCUCAGGCAUUGAUCAUAAUCAAUGAACAGGUCACCGUAGCCACCAGAUCCAGUCUGUAUCCAGAUCAGAGGUUCACUGCAGUCACCCGGAUCCAGUACGUAUCCAGACCAGAUGGUGGAUCAGCACCUAGAAAGGACCUCUACUGCCCUGAAAGACAGCGGAGACCAGGACAACUAGAGCCCAGAUACAGAUCCCCUGUAAAGACCUUGUCUCAGAGGUCCACCAGGACAAGACCACAGGAAACAGAUGAUUCUUCUGCACAAUCUGACUUUGCUGCAGUCUGGAAUUGAACUACUGGUUUCGUCUGGUCAGAGGAGAACUGACCCCCAACUGAGCCUGGUUUCUCCCAAGGUUUUGUCUCCAUUCUGUCACCGAUGGAGUUUCGGUUCCUUGGUUUUCCUUAGUUGGAGACAAUUAAUAUCAAGCGAUAUCAUUGACUUGAUUGCACAGAGGGACGAUAUAUCACUGAAUCAAUGAUGAACUGACUUUAACUGAAAACUGAGUGUUUACUGUUGUCCCUUUGCAUUAUUACACACUAUUUUCCUGUUUAAUACUGUAAAGCUGCUAUGAUGCAUUAUUUGUUUAAUAUGACAGGCUUAUUACUCAUAAUACAUGGAAAAUACAGCUGCAAACGGACAUUGUUUUUCCAUUUGAAAUUUGGCAGUCACUGUGCAUUCAUAAAAACUGAAACAGUAAUUUUUGUUCAGUGUUUUUGAAACAGUGUUUUUGUUCAAGAUUUGCAAUUGUGUUUGGAUUGUCACAAUGUGUCACAUGUGGAAAACGCAAUUGAAAAUAUAAUUUGCAAUUCCUUUUGAAAAUUGUCCUUCCAUACACAGGCUCUAUAAUUGUACUUCCAUAGACAGGCUCUAUAACAAAGUACACUGCUCUCAGGUGUAGAUCUUUGCUUCAAAUCUUAAGUGUUUGACAAUAGUACACCCAAAAAUGAAAAUUGUCAUUAAUUAUUCACCCUGGUCUGAAAGCUCUCGAAUUUCAUCGAAAAUAUCUUGUGUUCUGAAGAUGAACGAAGGUCUUACGGGUUUGUAACGACAUGAUAUAAAUUUAUAAUAUACAUUUUAGGACAUCUUUAAAUGAUUUUACAUUUAAAUGUAAAAAAUUUUAAUUGUCAAUGUCAUUUCACUGUGUAUUUAAAUAGCUAAACAUGUAAAAAUGUAAUGGUUAAACUGCUAGACACCGGUCAUUCAGAAAUAAUUUUCUUAUUUAUUGCAACUGUUUUUUUUUUUUUUUUUUUUUUUUGGGAUUUGAUGGAAACAAAAAAAAAGGGAAAAUUGCAUGUUGUUUGUCAUUGGUACAAAUUUGUGAAUGUCAGAUUCCAUUAAAAUUAUUUUUAACAGUCUAAAUAA